rnacentral:rRNA from 1 species
AUUGAACGCUGGCGGCAUGCCUUACACAUGCAAGUCGAACGGUAACAGGCCGCAAGGUGCUGACGAGUGGCGAACGGGUGAGUAAUGCAUCGGAACGUGCCCAGUCGUGGGGGAUAACUGCUCGAAAGAGCAGCUAAUACCGCAUACGACCUGAGGGUGAAAGCGGGGGACCGUAAGGCCUCGCGCGAUUGGAGCGGCCGAUGUCAGAUUAGCUAGUUUGUGGGGUAAAGGCCUACCAAGGCAACGAUCUGUAGUUGGUCUGAGAGGAGGACCAGCCACACUGGGACUGAGACACGGCCCAGAAUCCUACGGGAGUCAGCAGUGGGGAAUUUUGGACAAUGGGGGCAACCCUGAGCCAGCAAUGCCGCGUGCAGGAAGAAGGCCUUCGGGUUGUAAACUGCUUUUGUACGGAACGAAACGGUCUGGGUUAAUACCCUGGGCUAAUGACGGUACCGUAAGAAUAAGCACCGGCUAACUACGUGCCAGCCGCCGCUGUAACAC